CCAGGAACGGCCUUGUUUUUAGCAGCCUUGGGACGUAUAGACUACUUACAGGGAGAAAAGUCUGCCUGGUUUUCUGUCGUGGCUUCUAACCUGUUGCCAGUCCACAUCACUACCCUGAGUAACGCAGAUGCCAUCUACGAGAAGCACGCUGGCCGAGAGUUACUAAAGGUUCCCAUGGGUGGGGAAGAGCGAAUGAAAGAGUUCCCCCCACUUGUCCCUCAGGACAUUACACUGAAAGGAAUUGGUACCACUGAGGCAGUUGCAGAUAUCAAGCUUUCCUCUGCAGGUAAUUUAAUAUUUCUUCAUUAGUUUGCUUUGCAGGGUCUGCAUCCUAGAAACAUUGAUGGGAAGAGAUCUCUGAAGGGGUGAAGCCAUAUUUCCUGCUCAGAGCAGGACUGUCAACAACACAAAAUCACAGCAGCCAUGGCUUUGUCCAGCUGAGGCUUGACAACCUCCAGGAAUGGAGAUUGACAGCCAUGUUUGUAC